UACGGGGGGGGUAAGCGUUGUUCGGAAUUACUGGGCGUAAAGGGCUCGUAGGCGGCCAACUAAGUCAUACGUGAAACCCCUCAGCUUAACUGGGGAACUGCGUGUGAUACUGGAUGGCUUGGAUUUGGGAGAGGGAUGCGGAAUUCCAGGUGUAGCGGUGAAAUGCGUAGAUAUGCGGAGGAACACCGAUGGCGAAGGCAAUCCCCUGGGCCUGCACUGACGCUCAUGCACGAAAGCGUGGGGAGCAAACAGG
rnacentral:rRNA from 1 species